rnacentral:rRNA from 1 species
UCUGUAAGCCUGCGAAGGUGUGCUGUGAGGCAUGCUGGAGGUAUCAGAAGUGCGAAUGCUGACAUAAGUAACGAUAAAGCGGGUGAAAAGCCCGCUCGCCGGAAGACCAAGGGUUCCUGUCCAACGUUAAUCGGGGCAGGGUGAGUCGACCCCUAAGGCGAGGCCGAAAGGCGUAGUCGAUGGGAAACAGGUUAAUAUUCCUGUACUUGGUGUUACUGCGAAGGGGGGACGGAGAAGGCUAUGUUGGCCGGGCGACGGUUGUCCCGGUUUAAGCGUGUAGGCUGGUUUUCCAGGCAAAUCCGGAAAAUCAAGGCUGAGGCGUGAUGACGAGGCACUGCGGUGCUGAAGCAACAAAUGCCCUGCUUCCAGGAAAAGCCUCUAAGCAUCAGGUAACAUCAAAUCGUACCCCAAACCGACACAGGUGGUCAGGUAGAGAAUACCAAGGCGCUUGAGAGAACUCGGGUGAAGGAACUAGGCAAAAUGGUGCCGUAACUUCGGGAGAAGGCACGCUGAUAUGUAGGUGAAGUCCCUCGCGGAUGGAGCUGAAAUCAGUCGAAGAUACCAGCUGGCUGCAACUGUUUAUUAAAAACACAGCACUGUGCAAACACGAAAGUGGACGUAUACGGUGUGACGCCUGCCCGGUGCCGGAAGGUUAAUUGAUGGGGUUAGCGCAAGCGAAGCUCUUGAUCGAAGCCCCGGUAAACGGCGGCCGUAACUAUAACGGUCCUAAGGUAGCGAAAUUCCUUGUCGGGUAAGUUCCGACCUGCACGAAUGGCGUAAUGAUGGCCAGGCUGUCUCCACCCGAGACUCAGUGAAAUUGAACUCGCUGUGAAGAUGCAGUGUACCCGCGGCAAGACGGAAAGACCCCGUGAACCUUUACUAUAGCUUGACACUGAACAUUGAGCCUUGAUGUGUAGGAUAGGUGGGAGGCUUUGAAGUGUGGACGCCAGUCUGCAUGGAGCCGACCUUGAAAUACCACCCUUUAAUGUUUGAUGUUCUAACGUUGACCCGUAAUCCGGGUUGCGGACAGUGUCUGGUGGGUAGUUUGACUGGGGCGGUCUCCUCCUAAAGAGUAACGGAGGAGCACGAAGGUUGGCUAAUCCUGGUCGGACAUCAGGAGGUUAGUGCAAUGGCAUAAGCCAGCUUGACUGCGAGCGUGACGGCGCGAGCAGGUGCGAAAGCAGGUCAUAGUGAUCCGGUGGUUCUGAAUGGAAGGGCCAUCGCUCAACGGAUAAAAGGUACUCCGGGGAUAACAGGCUGAUACCGCCCAAGAGUUCAUAUCGACGGCGGUGUUUGGCACCUCGAUGUCGGCUCAUCACAUCCUGGGGCUGAAGUAGGUCCCAAGGGUAUGGCUGUUCGCCAUUUAAAGUGGUACGCGAGCUGGGUUUAGAACGUCGUGAGACAGUUCGGUCCCUAUCUGCCGUGGGCGCUGGAGAACUGAGGGGGGCUGCUCCUAGUACGAGAGGACCGGAGUGGACGCAUCACUGGUGUUCGGGUUGUCAUGCCAAUGGCACUGCCCGGUAGCUAAAUGCGGAAGAGAUAAGUGCUGAAAGCAUCUAAGCACGAAACUUGCC